GAAAUGCGAUACGCAAUGCGAAUUGCAGAAUUCCGCGAAUCAUCAGAUUCUUGAACGCAACUGGCGCUGAGAGGAUAUCCUUUCAGCAUGUCUGUUUCAGUGUCUGAAAACUUCCAAUACAUUCUAAUGUGUUUGACAAAGGAAUAUGAUUUAUUUCAUUGUUCUGUUAGUCUUACAUGAAAGAUGUAUGUGUGGGUCUUUGGAUCCAUCGAAUUGGUCACUGAUUCUUCGGUGAUUUCGAUUGGAUAUAACCAAUUACUCGUAUACACAUAGAAUAUAUUUAUAUCUUUAUCAUCUGCAUCUGAAAUCAGGCAAGAAAACCCGCUGAACUUAAGC
rnacentral:misc_RNA from 1 species